GCCCGGUUAGCUCAGUUGGUAGAGCAUCAGGCUUUUAAUCUGAGGACCAUGUGUUCGAGUCCCAUAUCGGGCU
rnacentral:tRNA from 1 species